AGAACACCUCUUCUUCCAAAACCACUCAUAGCUCUUUCCCUUCUUUCCAUGGGAGAAUCACGUUCAAGAUGUACCUGUGAGAAGUUGUUUUAUAUUUCUUAUAAUCUCUGAGCUGUCUCCUUUCCUAAGAGGAUAUAAUGAUUCUCAUUAAUAGCCUUCUAGAAGACUCAACUAGCUCCAAAGCAUGUGACUGAGUGGGCAAGAGUGUUCACUAUGCACCCAGUUUAGGAGUUCUGGAAAUUGGCGCAACAAGAGAAAAUGCACACUCAAGUAUUGGGGUCCAAUAGAGAGACAGGUACAGGCUUUACUGGACCCUUAUUUGCCCUGGGAUACAAAGUCUCUGAAUCAAACUGCCAAGUUUACAUAUUCCAAUGGAUUGAGAUCAAGUAGACGCUGAGAAGAAAGCACACGUGUCAGUUUUCCAGGAAAGCAGCACUUGAAUGCCAAUAGGGGAUACUGAUGCCAAAAGAGCUGGGUCUUCUGCAUCUUCUUAGAGGUCCUGGCCAAGAAGGAGAAGAACGCUGUAGAGACCAACAAGUAUGUAAAAAUCCUCCAGGACCUUCAAGACCCUUCCAUAGCAGAUCUGCUACUGAUGGAUCCUCCACUCCCUUAACUCCCAACCAUGGCCCCAAUUCCCACAGCUCCUCCUCAAGGAUAUCCCUUGAGCCCUUGUCCAUCAUCCCUAAACUCCCUUCCUCUGGCCCCAGCAAGGGGGUAGAGUGGGGAGGGACCCUUGGAAUUAGGACUGGCCAUGGGGACCUGGAGCAACAGUGGCCCUCCCCCUCCGAGCCUAUGGCCCUUAGAUGAGGAUUACAAUCAGACCAUGCAAUAUUGGCCUUUCUCUUUGGCCAACUUGUACAACUGGAAGUUCCACCCCCACUUCCUUUUCAGAUAACCCCAGGGGCUGACUAAUCUCUUUGAGACUGUUUUAUUUCCACAUCAGCCUACUUGGGAUGAUAUCCAACAACUCAUGAUAGUGCCCUUCACAACUGAAGAGUGAGAGAGGAUAAAGCAGGAAGCAAGAAAGAAUGUCCCGUCAGACACGAGGGCACUAUCUAUUGACCAGACCAUCAUCAACAGCUGGUUUUCACUGACUAGACCUGACUGAGACUUUAAUAUUGCCAUAAGGUGAUAUUAAAGGUAAGCGGCAACUGAAGGUAUGUCACCAGGCACCAUUAGCAGGUCUCAAAGGUACUGCACAACGACCCACAACUUUGACCAAGUUAUGUGAGGUUAGACAGGGAUCAGAUGAGUUGUCUGCUGCCUUUCUAGAGCAUUCCACCAGUACACACUCUAUGACCCCAGCAGCAAGGAGCACAAG
rnacentral:lncRNA from 1 species